rnacentral:rRNA from 1 species
UACGGGGGGAGCAAGCGUUGUUCGGAUUUACUGGGCGUAAAGGGCGGGUAGGCGGCCACCGCAAGUCAGUUGUGAAAUCUCUGGGCUUAACCCAGAAAGGUCAACUGAUACUGCGGGGCUAGAGUGCAGAAGGGGCAACUGGAAUUCCUGGUGUAGCGGUGAAAUGCGCAGAUAUCAGGAGGAACACCGGUGGCGAAGGCGGAUCUCUGGGCCAUUACUGACGCUGAGGAGCGAAAGCGUGGGGAGCGAACAGG